rnacentral:snoRNA from 1 species
AAUCCCGUUAUCUUUCCAACAGCUGACUCCUACGUCAUUGUUGGCUUAAUAUGGGUGAAAUUGACUGGAUGAUUCUGAAAUAGGGUUAUGUUGCUGAAAAUUGACAAACCGCUUCACUCGUUCUACAUUU